UCUAGAAUCGUCUUCGUUGGUGCUCGCGGUGUGGUUCGCAUGCCGCAGUUCAACGGGAAGCAGGGAGCCCGAUCCGCCCGCGCGAAACCAAGGUCUCGCGCGCGGCAUUGAAGGCCAACCUGCGCUGCCCCCGCAACGGUAAGCGGAAGGCGUCCUGGAAAGAAGGACGCCCCUCCAUCCCCCCGCCACUGGCGCCCUUCACGGCGCGCUGGGAAGGCCGAUGGAGCGUCAUUCCGCCAGCCCGGAUACCGGCCAACACGGUGGCCGCGCC
rnacentral:ncRNA from 2 species